rnacentral:rRNA from 1 species
GGGUGAGUAACGCGUGAGCAACCUGCCUAUGAUAGUGGGAUAGCCUCGGGAAACCGGGAUUAAUACCGCAUAAAAUCGUAGAAACACAUGUUUUAACGGUCAAAGAUUUAUCGGUCAUAGAUGGGCUCGCGUCUGAUUAGCUAGUUGGUGAGAUAACAGCCCACCAAGGCGACGAUCAGUAGCCGGUCUGAGAGGAUGAACGGCCACAUUGGAACUGAGACACGGUCCAA